rnacentral:rRNA from 1 species
GAUGAACGCUGGCGGCGUGCCUAAUACAUGCAAGUAGAACGCUGAAGCUUGGUGCUUGCACCGAGCGGAUGAGUUGCGAACGGGUGAGUAACGCGUAGGUAACCUGCCUCUUAGCGGGGGAUAACUAUUGGAAACGAUAGCUAAUACCGCAUAAAAGUCGAUAUCGCAUGAUAUUGAUUUGAAAGGUGCAAAUGCAUCACUAAGAGAUGGACCUGCGUUGUAUUAGCUAGUUGGUGAGGUAACGGCUCACCAAGGCGACGAUACAUAGCCGACCUGAGGGGGUGAGCGGCCACACUGGGACUGAGACACGGCCCAGACUCCUACGGGAGGCAGCAGGAGGGAAUCUUCGGCAAUGGGGGCAACCCUGACCGAGCAACGCCGCGUGAGUGAAGAAGGUUUUCGGGUCGUAAAGCUCUGUUGUAAGAGAAGAACGAGUGUGAGAGUGGAAAGUUCACACUGUGACGGUAACUUACCAGAAAGGGACGGCUAACUACGUG